rnacentral:tRNA from 1 species
GCCUGGGUGGCUCAGUCAGUUAAGCAUCUGACUUCAGCUCAGGUCAUGAUCUCAUGGUUGGGUUCGUGAGUUCAAGCCCCACAUCAGGCU